AAUUAGAGAGCAACUAUAUCCAUGAACCACCAUCUAGAUUGCAGGAAUUAAAGGGAGAACAAAUGUUCAUUGAAUAGAUGCAAUUUACCAGGACUUAUGCUAAGCAUUACAGAUCUAUAAUCUCUUUAUAUAUAUAUAUAUAUGUAUAUAUAUAUACACACACACACACACACACACACACACAUAUAUAUAAGAAAAUUAAGGUGAGAAAGUAAUAAACAAUGCUAAUUAGCUCUGUUUUUAAAAGUAACAAUCCAAACUUAAACUCAAAUUAUUUUUACUGUAAAACCACUGUAGAAAAAUAAAAACAAUUAAAUUCAGAGUUCUAUAUUGCAUACUAACUGUAAACCACAUCAUUGUUCAGAUUGAUUUUUUUAACAGAUCAAAACAUAUUUAAUCCGUUGCAUUGAAUUUAAUGCAUUGUGUUGCUACUCCUUAUUUUAUUUUGUUUUAUUUUACUCAAUUUUAUAUUUUAUUUUCUUUCUAGUAGAAUAUUAGCUGGUACAUCUGAAUACCAGAAUGUAAAGAAAGGAAGAACAGAUCCAAAUAAAUAUUUAAAGUAAUAAUGGCUAAGAAUUUUCCAAAAUUAACAGCAGAUACUGAAUACAGAUUCAAGAAGUGCAGAGAAUACCAAGCAGAAUAAAUGUCAAAAAUCUAUACUUAGGUAUAUAUUUUUUAAACCAAAGAAAAUCAAAGACAGAGAGACAUACUGAAAGGAGCCAAGGGUAAACAAGAAAACUUACCUGUAAAUAAAUAAGGCUAAGAAUUACAGUUGGUUUUUCAUUAGAUGAGUGCAACCAGGGGAAAUGUCAGAUGCUUAUAAAACCAUCAAAUCUCAAGAUAACUCACUCACUAUAAUGAGAACAGCAUGGGGGAAACCACCUUCAUGUUCUACUUACUUCCAUCUGGUCCUGCUCUUGACACAUGAGGAUUAUGGAGAUUAGAAUUCAAGGUGAUAUUUGGGUGGGGACACAGAGCCAAACCCUACAGUAUGUAUGGUAUCCUACUAUGUAUUGCUUGAAUCUACACAAUUCUGUCUCUUUAAAUGGAUUCCAGCUGAGGAUAGUAAGGAACAAAAUUGACACAUAAUAUGUAGAAAAUAAUGUAUCAACAAAAUGUAUUAUAUAAUAAUUUUCUUCAUUAAAUAAUAUUUUUUAGUAAGAAUUAUGUUAGGUGCUGUAGGAAUAAGAGAAUAAAACAAGUGUGUAUUUUACUCUUUGGAGAAAAGUAAUACAAAAAAGAAAGCCAAAACAAAGCAGAAUCAAAGUUGGACAUUCAUAUAGAUAUGCAUGUAAAUAUAUAUGCAUUUGUGGACUUUCAAAAAAUUUAAAAACAUUUUUAUUAGAGAAAUGAUAAAACUUUAUGAUAAAAUUGCAUUCAAUUUGGAUUUAGAAAGGGUAAAAUUAUGUGUCUUAGACCAUUUUGUGCUUCUAAAACAGAAUACCAUAGAUUGAGUAAUUUAUAAAGAACAGAAAUUUACUUCUUACCAUUCUGGUGGCUAGGAAGUCCAAGAUCAAGAUACCAGGCUCUGAGGUCUUCUUGAUGCAUCCUCACAUGGUGGAAGGUGGAAGGGGCAAGAGAGAACCAACUCUCUCUGUCAAGACCCUUUAUAAGAUCACCUCAUCCCAUUCAUGAGGGAGGAUCUCUCAUGGCCUAAACACCUCUUAAAGGCCUGACCUCUUAGGACUAUCACAUUGGCAACACUUGAAUUUUGGAGGAGAUUCAUUAAAGCCAUGUCAGUAUCCAUUUCUUACUAAAGGUAAAAAAUAAUUUGAAGUAUGAAGGGAACACAAAAUGAAUAAUACCUCCAAGAAAUAUUCAUUCAUUUGUCCACUCACUCACUAAAUAAAUAUUGAGAGACUGACUUGUAAAAGCUAAUUUACUCUCUUCUAAGCUCCAUCAUACCAGGCUGGGAAACUCCCAGUAGAUAAUAUGGGCACUAAGAUCUAACCUAAUAUAAACUCAGAUCAAUUUACUUCAGAUAUCAGGAUAAAAAGUUCUGCACCAUUGUGAGCCAGGGUUCUUCCAGACAGCAAUACAAGGAAGUAGAAGAGACAGAGUUGAUCCAAAAAGCAAUGAGCCUGGGAAGUUUUUAUAGCAGGUAAUUUCAAAUAAAUCAUUUUCUAUACAACUGAGAUUCUUCUAUUCAUGAAUAGAACCUUCUUAAAUGCACUCCAGCAUUUCUCCAAAGUGGGGCAUUGUAAACAAAUAAAAAGAGGGCCAGAAAUGGCUAUUUAU
rnacentral:lncRNA from 10 species